rnacentral:misc_RNA from 1 species
AGCUCUUCAACCAACUGUCCUCGGCUCGAAGGUUCCAUCUUCGAGAGAAGAGCUGCAAGGCCUUGAGGUAGAGCUUGCAAAUCAGAUGCUGAUUCUCCAAGAUCCGAAAGUUGCGAUAAUACCUUCUGAACUCGUAAUUCUUUGAGAUACGUCUCAAAGUUCAUUGGGUCGUCUUUCCAAGCGAAGAAUGCCUCAUCAUCCCCCCACGCAUCCUCACCCACUUUUUCCGAAAACCAUCGCUUGAUCAGUUCCAAUGCAGACCGAUGAGAUAACUGCUUCCCAGCAGCAUCGCUGACAAUCCUCGUAAGUGAACCCUCAGCGACUCGCCUGUUUAACCUUUUGUAGAAGAACAAGCGUGAGCCCUCCCAGUCGACUACAUUCUUCACCACACCUUU